rnacentral:tRNA from 1 species
GUCCCCUUCGUCUAGUGGCCUAGGACACGCCCUUUCACGGCGGUAAUCAGGGGUUCGAGUCCCCUAGGGACGCCA